GCGGCCGUGGCGGAAUUGGUAGACGCGCAGCGUUGAGGUCGCUGUGGACGAUAAGUCCGUGGAAGUUCGAGUCUUCUCGGCCGCACCA
rnacentral:tRNA from 1 species